rnacentral:lncRNA from 1 species
CAUACUGUUACCGCUGUUGACUGGUGACGAGUUCUUGCUUCCCCAAUGUUGAAGAAUAACACCAAAGAAGCACGCCGAGGCAAGGUCAGAGUAGAAAUUAGAAGUUUAUUAAAGGACAGCAGAAAAGACUUCUCCCGGAGGAAGAAGGGGACCCAAGAGGUGGAAUCCGUGGAAGUGCGGUUGUUUCCCCUUUUUAUAGUUUUGGUGAUGGAAUGUAGGUUGGAAGGCCCGAGGGGUGGGACACAGGUGGGCCAAAGAAGUAAUCUGGUCAGGAAGGACUUCUCAGUCAGCACCUUUUUGCUGGGGGCUGUUCAUUAACAUUUCUUUGAGGUGGACUUUGGCCUAGGGCCUUUUAGGACUUCAUUAACAUUCCUUGAGUUGUCCUGCGUUUCCCGGAAUCAUUGCCAGCAUGGCCUCCAUUUUAGAUUUCACUCGGUAUUAGACCCGAUUUACCUAACUACACUGACUACCUAACUUUAAAUCUGGCUUCAAUACCAUAUUUUCUAUAUAUUUUAGUCUAUCUUUUAGGAAGUAGAUAUCACAAGGACUAGACUAAAAGACAAAUUCAAAGAAGGUUUAACCUGGCUAGAUGAUAGUAAUUCAAUUUUAAAGGAAAUUAUAUGCAUACAUAUGUGUGCAUGAACACACGCUUAUUUAUGUAUAUGAUUAUCUAGUUUGUUUAUGCAAUACAUAUGUGAAGGUAUGUAUUAUGUAAAGUUAAUAUAUGUUGGUAUAAUAAAAACAUAAAUAUGUAGUAAAACCAUAUAAAUAUGCCUAUUUUCCUUCAUUAUUCAUUAUGUAAUAUUCUACUACAUAUUUUUCAUUUGAGUUUUAGAGAGGGUGUAUGGGUUUGAUUGAUUUACAAUGUUACUUUUACAAUCAUGUUUUCCCUUCAGUCAUAUAAAGAAGCUCAAAUUUGAAGUAUUUGUAUCUUUGCACAUAAUUGUGAGGGUGUGUUAUUUUAUAAAUAACAGGAAACAACUGUGCAAUAUGUCUAUCAUACUCUAUAUUUAAGGAAUACUGCAAUAUGCAAAAUAAUUGCAUUAACAAUUUGUUAAAACCAUUACAGUACUAGAGUUUUUAUUUAAAAUUUGUUUCACCCAAUCUCUGAAAGUUUACUUUGAAAUAUAGGAAAUAGUUUAAAACAGAUCCAAGUGUUCAGAUUUGAAAUUCAGUGACAAAUUAUUUGUUACACAAUAACUGAUUCAUUUGGAAAUUCAUGAAUGGGUCAUGUGUUUUAAGAAAAUUCUAGUAGUUCCCACAGAGGAAGUGGAUCAGGAAAUGGCAAGCAUCCACACUUUCAUUUACUGAUUUUCUCAAUUUGGGUGUAAUUUCACAUUAAACCUCCAAAUUCUACAUGUUAACUCAAAAUAAUUUUUACAAGUUUACAAGAUGCCUUCAUAGUUUUAAUAAAUUAUUUCUGAAUUAGUAUAGGCAAAUUUUGGUUUUUUUUUUUUAAAAAUCAGAUUGAGAGAGAGAGAGAUUUUACUUCGAGAGUAGAGGUCACAUAUAUUUUCAUUACCAAGAAGGAUACUAUGAAAGAGCUAGCAUAUUAUACAAUCUUUGCUUUGAACAAAAUUGCUCUGGCAGAAUGCAUCAGUGAACACUCCAGACCAGGAUCCCUGUCUAUAGUCCACAUUCUUGUGGGAGAUUGCAUACAGUAAAUAGAAACUCUAAUUUAUUGUAUUUUAGAAGUUGCACAAUGAUAUGGAAGAUAAAAAGGUAGCAUACAUCCCAUUAAGAGAAAUUGACAAUGCUGAAGUAGAGGAUGCAGUUUCAGCUUGGUUGCAAUCCGAAACAAGUUGGUUGGGGGUAGUGAGGUUGGAGCAAACACUAGAAGAAAGUGGAGAAGUGAAGUCCAGGCUGUCAGCGGAGCAUUCUAGGCAGAGGCAAGCACCAAGGCAAAGCUCCAGAGGUGCAAACUUCCAUAAUAUGUUCCAGAAGCAGGAGACUGGCAGCUUGGCUAGGGCUGACCCAGGUAAGGAGACAGGGACUAGAUGAAGUGAACAAAUGAAGUUGAUCAUUCUGUGAUUUUGGAGCCAUUACAAAAAAGUUAAAUAGUGGCCUCCAAAAGAUGCCCAUAUAAAUCUGUAAGUAUGGACUUUUCUAGAUGUAAUUAAGGAUUUUGAGAGAUCAUAUUGGAUUUAGUGUGGGCUCUAAAUCCAGUGAUCAGUGAAGAAGACACAAUUCCACCAUAUGAUAGUUUUGAGAUCUCAACCAAUUUAAUUAACUUUUGUAAACACAGUUGUCAUUAUUCAUACAUAAAUGAAUUCCACAAAUCUUAUGAUAUAUGGAGAAAGUAAAUAAAAAUAAUUUGAAACAUCAGAAAGUCAUAAUGAUAUUAUUUUUCUUAACUCUGAUUAAUAGCCAUGAUAGGGCAUUUGGCCCCUGAAAGAGAAAUAAAGUGGUAGUCAAUCAGUUGCCUGGCAGGAAAGGAAUUAAGAAUAAAUGCUCUUGACACAUUUUUCCUUUGCCCUCUGAUCUCCCGCCUGUUAUUCUACUAGCCAAAUCCUCUGAUAGCCAGUGAUCAAGGAGCUCAGUGACAGAGUCCAUGAAGAUCACCUUCUAGAGACACUGAACAGAGAGAUGAGAGUGGAUCAGUAAGGGCAAAAGACAGCAUCCAGCCCAUAAUAAAAGUAGUCAAAGUAUGUAUUCUCUCUUUUUUCAUUAAUUUUUUUCAUUGAAUUAGCAAUCUUCUACAAAAUCAACCACAGUUCAUUAGACUAUUAAUGAUAAUCUUACUUACUACUUGAAACUUGGAAACUCCUAGCCUAAGACACUUUUGGGAAAUCUAAGAGGUCAACGCUAUCUUCAUAAUGACAGUAAGACUAUAUUUAUCUUUUGGUUGGGUUUGCAUUUGCACUGAAAAUGCAGAAGCAUUGGUGUCAUUACCUGCCUAUGAAUCACGCCAGAGGCAUCAAACUCUGGCCAUGAUAUUUUUCACCUUUAUGAGUUUUCUGUGUUUGUGGCAGUGGGGGAUAUCUCCUAAGAAUGAUGCAAUAAAAGUCAUUAAUUUCAUGAAAUCUUAAUUACUGCCCAGAAGCUUUGGAGGCUGAGAUAGUAAGAUCAUGAGUUCAAAGACAAUCUCAGUAAAAGCAAGGCACUAAGCAACUCAGAGAGACUCUGUCUCUAAAUAAAAUACAAAAAGUAGGGCUGGGGAUAUGGCUUAGUAGUUGAGUGCCCCUGAGUUCAAUCCCUGAUACCUAGGAAAAAAAACUCAGUUACUGAUUACAAUCAAUUUUAAUGAUGAAUGGGAAGUAUGCAUAAAACAUUCCCACUGUGUAUCAAGAUGAAUUGAUACUUCAGAAGAAAAGCCCUUGUGUGAAUGAGAUGCAUCCUGAACCAACCAAGCCAUUCCCUUCAAGGAAAACAACCGACAGCAUUUUUUGACAAUGAUAAAAUUCAAACUUUCUAGCAAAACCUCAAAUUUUGAAAGCAUUUAUCUCCACCAGGAUACUAAUAGUCUCCUAGCAUUUAAAGUCUUUUUAAAAGAGAUUUUUGGUGGUGUUACCAUGUGAUUAUUUGAUAUUACAUAAUGAAAUCUGUCAACCUUUACAAGUUCUACAUAACUCCAAAAACUGACGUUUUCAAAAUUACCAUUGACUGAUAUAACAAAAUAAUAUAUGUUCAAAAAAAAUUCUAAUUAGAAAGAGAGAUUAAACAAUGGAUUUAAAUGAAACUGAUUACAACAGGCUUAAUGACAUGAUUUAUUUUAAAAUACUGAAAACAAUUUUUAAUAAAUUAUCAUUUGUCAAUUUCUCUAUAAUAUCAAAGAAUACCAACGAUUAUCUGAAAGCUACGUAUUUUUCCAACUACAUAACAAUGUGAGGCAAGACUUUCCUUCUGAAGUUCAUUCAGAACAGAAUAUUGCAACAGAUGUUUCAUAUAUUAAGCAAAUAUUAAGAGGUAUUUGAAUUAGCAAUAUAAAAAAUUAGCAAACCAAAAAAAAGGCACACUUCUCAAUGAAUAGUUUGAAAUUUAUGUUUGUAUAAUAGGUUUUCAUAAAAAUACAAUUUUAUUGGUAAAAGUUUUCAUAAUAAUACCUGUUUUCUACAAGUAUUUUACUUAUAUUAACAUGUAUUGGUUAUUGUUAUUUGGAGAUUAUUAAUGAAUAAAAUUAUUUUCAGUUUUAAUUUCAAAUAUAGUAUCAAAAACAACAUUUCUCCAGAGCCCUCAAUAACAUUAAAGAAUAUGGAAGGGACCUGAGACCAUGAUGUCUAGACUAGCUAACAAAUGUUCAGAGAUUAUAUAUAAAAUUAUGUUAAAACUUCUAUUGCUGUUUGCCUAAGUAUAUUUAUAAUUUUAUAUUUGCAUAUUUUACACAGAAUACAUUUUGUACAUAAUUAUAAGAAAAAUACAAUUUCAACAUAAGGACAUAUGGCCUUUGGAUAAACUGCAUGAAGUCAAAGCACAAUAAUCAUUACUUUGUUUCAUAAAAGACUAGAUGAUUAUUUGUGUGUUUUAAAUAGUUUAGCACAUGAAAUUUGGUAUUUAUUCAAAUAGCCCACUAGAAAGUUUAUGAGAUUAUAAUUAAGAAGUUAAUUAUAUUUGUAAGAAUUUUUUUUCAAAUGGUCACACUUGACAAAUAAACAUUUACUGUUUAUAAUUUAUGAGUAUUUUAGGAGCCAACACUGAAUAAUUUUUCCCAAAUAUUCUGAAGAACAAUUACUAUUAAUUUUAAUUUUUUUGUGUGUAUGUAUAUUAUGGAAUGGUAUUUUAUGUAUUCAUGAUUUUAGAAAAUAAUAGUACAUUUAUCAAAAAUCAUAUUUAUUACACAAAUAUUCUGAGAAUGAAUAUCCUUAAGUUGGUCAUAGAUAUAUCAUAAUUCAGCCUUUUUAUUAUGCUUAAACUAUGGUAGCUAUUACUAAUUUACUGAGGAGAAAAAAAUAAUGUUAUAUCUUAUAUAAUUUAGUAGGAGCUCAAGUGACUAUGGCUUUCUUCAUUCAGUUCUCUUCUACCCUUAUACAUGCAGAGAACCCACAGAAUCAAGUGCCAUGGAAAAGCAAAGACUGUGCUCCUAGAGAAGUUAGGGAGAAAAGGUUGAUUUGUAUUUCAUGUCAGUAUUUUAACAUUUUUGUUUGAUUUGUGUUACCAUGUAAACCUUCAUGUCAUCAGAUAUUUCAAAAUGCUGAAACAAGAU